CGUGUCUUCUGGCUUGAU
rnacentral:miRNA from 1 species